rnacentral:rRNA from 1 species
GGACCCGCACAAGUAGUGGAGCAUGUGGUUUAAUUCGAAGAUACGCGCAGAACCUUACCAACACUUGACAUGUUCGUCGCGACUUUAAGAGAUUAAAGUUUUCGGUUCGGCCGGACGAAACACAGGUGCUGCAUGGCUGUCGUCAGCUCGUGUCGUGAGAUGUUGGGUUAAGUCCCGCAACGAGCGCAACCCUCACUUUUAGUUGCCAUCAUUUAGUUGGGCACUCUGAAAGAACUGCCAGUGAUAAGCUGGAGGAAGGUGGGGAUGACGUCAAGUCCUCAUGGCCCUUACGUGUUGGGCUACACACGUGCUACAAUGGUAGUGACAAUGGGUUAAUCCCAAAAGCCGGUCUCAGUUCGGAUUGCACUCUGCAACUCGAGUGCAUG